GAUAAACGCUGGCGGCGUGCCUAAUACAUGCAAGUCGAGCGAACGGACGAGAAGCUUGCUUCUCUGAUGUUAGCGGCGGACGGGUGAGUAACACGUGGAUAACCUACCUAUAAGACUGGGAUAACUUCGGGAAACCGGAGCUAAUACCGGAUAAUAUUUUGAACCGCAUGGUUCAAAAGUGAAAGACGGUCUUGCUGUCACUUAUAGAUGGAUCCGCGCUGCAUUAGCUAGUUGGUAAGGUAACGGCUUACCAAGGCAACGAUGCAUAGCCGACCUGAGAGGGUGAUCGGCCACACUGGAACUGAGACACGGUCCAGACUCCUACGGGAGGCAGCAGUAGGGAAUCUUCCGCAAUGGGCGAAAGCCUGACGGAGCAACGCCGCGUGAGUGAUGAAGGUCUUCGGAUCGUNAAACUCUGUUAUUAGGGAAGAACAUAUGUGNUAGUAACUGUGCACAUCUUGACGGUACCUAAUCAGAAAGCCACGGCUAACUACGUGCCAGCAGCCGCGGUAAUACGUAGGUGGGCAGCGGUAUCCGGAAUUUAUGGGCGUAAAGCGCGCGUAGCGGUUUUUUAGUCUGAUGUGAAAGCCCACGGCUCAACCGUGGAGGGUCAUUGGAAACUGGAAAACUUGAGUGCAGAAGAGGAAAGUGGAAUUCCAUGUGUAGCGGUGAAAUGCGCAGAGAUAUGGAGGAACACCAGUGGCGAAGGCGACUUUCUGGUCUGUAACUGACGCUGAUGUGCGAAAGCGUGGGGAUCAAACAGGAUUAGAUACCCUGGUAGUCCACGCCGUAAACGAUGAGUGCUAAGUGUUAGGGGGUUUCCGCCCCUUAGUGCUGCAGCUAACGCAUUAAGCACUCCGCCUGGGGAGUACGACCGCAAGGUUGAAACUCAAAGGAAUUGACGGGGACCCGCACAAGCGGUGGAGCAUGUGGUUUAAUUCGAAGCAACGCGAAGAACCUUACCAAAUCUUGACAUCCUUUGACAACUCUAGAGAUAGAGCCUUCCCCUUCGGGGGACAAAGUGACAGGUGGUGCAUGGUUGUCGUCAGCUCGUGUCGUGAGAUGUUGGGUUAAGUCCCGCAACGAGCGCAACCCUUAAGCUUAGUUGCCAUCAUUAAGUUGGGCACUCUGAGUUGACUGCCGGUGACAAACCGGAGGAAGGUGGGGAUGACGUCAAAUCAUCAUGCCCCUUAUGAUUUGGGCUACACACGUGCUACAAUGGACAAUAUAAAGGGCAGCGAAACCGCGAGGUCAAGCAAAUCCCAUAAAGUUGUUCUCAGUUCGGAUUGUAGUCUGCAACUCGACUACAUGAAGCUGGAAUCGCUAGUAAUCGUAGAUCAGCAUGCUACGGUGAAUACGUUCCCGGGUCU
rnacentral:rRNA from 1 species